rnacentral:rRNA from 1 species
AAUGAACGCUGGCGGCGUGCAUAACACAUGCAAGUCGAACGAGAAACCCCGGGCUUGCUCGGGGGAGUAAAGUGGCGCACGGGUGAGUAACGCGUGGGUAACCUACCUCUGAAUCUGGAAUAACUUCGCGAAAGCGUUGCUAAUACCGGAUAUUGUCCCUUGAUCUUCGGUUCUUGGGAUGAAAGGUGACCUCUUCUUGAAAGUUGCCGUUUGGGGAUGGGCCCGCGUACCAUUAGCUAGUUGGUAGGGUAAUAGCCUACCAAGGCGAGGAUGGUUAGCUGGUCUGAGAGGAUGGCCAGCCACACUGGCACUGAAACACGGGCCAGACUCCUACGGGAGGCAGCAGUGAGGAAUCUUGCGCAAUGGGGGAAACCCUGACGCAGCAACGCCGCGUGAGCGAAGAAGGCCUUCGGGUCGUAAAGCUCUGU